rnacentral:rRNA from 1 species
AACGAACGCUGGCGGCAUGCCUAACACAUGCAAGUCGAACGAGAUCUUCGGAUCUAGUGGCGCACGGGUGCGUAACGCGUGGGAAUCUACCCUUGGGUUCGGAAUAACAGUUAGAAAUGACUGCUAAUACCGGAUGAUGACGUAAGUCCAAAGAUUUAUCGCCCAAGGAUGAGCCCGCGUAAGAUUAGCUUGUUGGUGGGGUAAAGGCCUACCAAGGCUACGAUCUUUAGCUGGUCUGAGAGGAUGAUCAGCCACACUGGGACUGAGACACGGCCCAGACUCCUACGGGAGGCAGCAGUGGGGAAUAUUGGACAAUGGGCGAAAGCCUGAUCCAGCAAUGCCGCGUGAGUGACGAAGGCCUUAGGGUUGUAAAGCUCUUUUACCCGGGAUGAUAAUGACAGUACCGGGAGAAUAAGCUCCGGCUAACUCCGUGCCAGCAGCCGCGGUAAUACGGAGGGAGCUAGCGUUGUU